CCUACGGGAGGCAGCAGUGGGGAAUAUUGGGCAAUGGGCGCAAGCCUGACCCAGCAACGCCGCGUGAAGGAAGAAGGCUUUCGGGUUGUAAACUUCUUUUCUCAGGGACGAAGAAAGUGACGGUACCUGAGGAAUAAGCCACGGCUAACUACGUGCCAGCAGCCGCGGUAAUACGUAGGUGGCAAGCGUUAUCCGGAUUUAUUGGGUGUAAAGGGCGUGUAGGCGGGAGCGCAAGUCAGAUGUGAAAACUCAGGGCUCAACCCUGAGCCUGCAUUUGAAACUGUGUUUCUUGAAUGCUGGGGAGGCAAUCGGAAUUCCGUGUGUAGCGGUGAAAUGCGUAGAUAUACGGAGGAACACCAGUGGCGAAGGCGGAUUGCUGGACAGUAACUGACGCUGAGGCGCGAAAGCGUGGGGAGCAAACAGGAUUAGAUACCCUUGUAGUC
rnacentral:rRNA from 1 species